rnacentral:rRNA from 1 species
GACGAACGCUGGCGGCGUGCUUAACACAUGCAAGUCGAACGGAAAGGCCCUGCUUUUGUGGGGUGCUCGAGUGGCGAACGGGUGAGUAACACGUGAGUAACCUGCCCUUGACUUUGGGAUAACUUCAGGAAACUGGGGCUAAUACCGGAUAGGAGCUCCUGCUGCAUGGUGGGGGUUGGAAAGUUUCGGCGGUUGGGGAUGGACUCGCGGCUUAUCAGCUUGUUGGUGGGGUAGUGGCUUACCAAGGCUUUGACGGGUAGCCGGCCUGAGAGGGUGACCGGCCACAUUGGGACUGAGAUACGGCCCAGACUCCUACGGGAGGCAGCAGUGGGGAAUAUUGCACAAUGGGCGGAAGCCUGAUGCAGCAACGCCGCGUGCGGGAUGACGGCCUGCGGGUUGUAAACCGCUUUCGCCGGUGACGAAGCGUGAGUGACGGUAAUGGGUAAAGAAGCACCGGCUAACUACGUG